UGAGCAAUCUGCCCUUCACAUCGGAAUAACCAUUGGAAACGAUGGCUAAUACCGAAUAUGACUUCGGAUCGCAUGAUCUGAAGUGGAAAGCUCCGGCGGUGAAGGAUGAGCUCGCGGCCUAUCAGCUUGUUGGUGAGGUAAUAGCUCACCAAGGCGAUGACGGGUAGCCGGCUGAGAGGCGACCGGCCACACGUGGGACUGAGAUACCGGCA
rnacentral:rRNA from 1 species